GGACCUGACUGCUAUCGGAUUGAUAUUAAGCCAUGCGAGUUUUUGUAGUAAUACAAAGCAUACGGCUCAGUAACGCGUAGUCAACCUAACCUAUGGACGGGAAUAACCUCGGGAAACUGAGAAUAAUGCCCGAUAGAACAUUAUGCCUGGAAUGGUUUAUGUUCCAAAUGAUUUAUCGCCGUAGGAUGGGACUGCGGCCUAUCAGUUUGUUGGUGAGGUAAUGGCCCACCAAGACUAUUACAGGUACGGGCUCUGAGAGGAGUAGCCCGGAGAUGGGUACUGAGACACGGACCCAGGCCCUAUGGGGCGCAGCAGGCGAGAAAACUUUGCAAUGUGCGAAAGCACGACAAGGUUAAUCCGAGUGGUUUCUGCUAAAGAAACCUUUUGUCAGUCCUAGAAACACUGAUGAAUAAGGGGUGGGCAAGUUCUGGUGU
rnacentral:rRNA from 1 species